GGCCGCCGGCAAAGUCACCACCAAAAGCUGCUUCAUCCAACAACCCUGAAGAGCUAGAGAUUGAGAUUGCUGAAGUGUUAUACGGGUUGAUGACCCAGUCACAAGGACCUUCCAAGAAAGAAAGUGGUGGAGGAGGACGAAAUGAUACAACAAGAGAAGUCAAUAACAGAUCCAGAGUUUCUUCUCCUGUUUCAAAUUCUAACUCAUCAGCUACUCCUUUAUCUGCUGUUGGUGAGCAUAACUAAAAAAGUUCCAAUCUUUUUCCCCAAUAAAUAUCCCGUUUCUUGAUUCUGUUCUGAUGAGUCUUGGUUUUGUGCAGCUCCAAAGAGGAAAAGACCGAGGCAAGUCUUGGAAAAUCCUGGAGGAUUUGGUGCAAGGAGCAGCCCCAUUUCAUCUUCUACAGCUACUAAUAAAGUGGAGAUGGAUCAGACAACAACAAUGAAGAUGGAGGUUUCUUCUCCUAAUUUGGAGAAGACCCCACAAUCUGCUGCUGAAAAUGGUGUAUCUUUAUAUGAUUUAAGUGCUUCUGUACAAAGUUUGCCGGUUGCAUCGGAUCCGGUACCGGAGACGAUGAAGGUGGAAUCUGAGGCCAAGAGGAGGCCUGAGGAAUCUGAAUUUAUGGAGAGUAAGGAGGAGGUGAGGGAGUCUUCUACUUUGGGAGCAGAAAAUAGUAAUCGUGAGGAUGCUGUUGCAGUUACCCAAGUGUGAGUAUCUAUCCUAAGGUUUGAUCUUUUUGCUCGUAAUUCAACUUGUGUCUGAUUCAUGUGUUGUUGGAAUUUCAGGAUUGUUUCAGAAGUUGAAAGUCAGAGAGAGGAGAAAUUCCAGAUAGAUCUUAUGGUGAGGAUGAAGAUAUGCCUAAAACAAUCUAUUCAGUUUUUUUCCAAGUUUGGUAAUUGAUCUUUUAAAUAACUUUUUAGGCCCCUCCACCGCAGUUAAGAUCAUCACCUGAAAGGGAAGCUGAGAUAGAUUUUGGAUCAGCAGCUGUGGAUAAGAAGCCUAUUUUAGCAGAAAAUAUAGUAGUGAGUAUUCACUUUUUCUUUUCCUUUAUUUCGUCCCUUGAGGAUAUUGAGGAUGAUCUGAUGAAUGAAUUGGCUGAUGCGUACAGGAAAUGAAGCCUUCAGUGAAGGAGAAGGAUAAUGAAAGGAUUGGCAAGGCUGAGAAAGAAGAAGUGAUCAGUGUUGAAGCUGACGAAAAGAAGACAAAAGCAGCAGCCCUUGAGGAACUUAAUCCUCAUAAGGCAAGUGAGGGUAGCAGGGGUAGGAAUAUUGAUCUUCAGCUAGAUUUGGAAAGGCCAGAAAAGGAUAGUGGUGUAAGUAGCAAAUUCCAACAGCAGAGUCAAAAGUUGCUGCAGCAGCAGCCUCCACCACAAAAAGCUACUAAAGAAGAACCAAUUAUAGAAAAAACAGGUAGGUGUUGAUUUUAGGGUUGAUUGUAAUGAAAUCUUCCCUUGGAUUUUUUAAUUGAUGGGGGUGAUGUUUUCAAUAUUCAGGUCAAUCAAGCUCUUUACCAAUGCCAAUGUCUAUGGCUAGCUGGCCUGGUGGGCUUCCUCCCAUGGGGUACGGUCGGCUUGACUUAAUUGCUCAUUUAAUUGAUAUUACAAAGUAUUAGAUCCGUGGUGUAAAUGCUUCUGGCGAAAUAACUCAAUUCCUGUCAGCAGAUACAUGGCACCUUUGCAAGGAGUUGUAGCUAUGGAUGGAACCACAGUUUCCUCUGCUCCAAUCCAGGUAUUUCUCUCACUUCUCUUCUCUCUUUCCACCUUAGUCAUUUUCAAGCUGGAGUUUGAUUCAUGCUCUUCUGCCCCUUUUUUGUGCUUUUCAAUGUUAUGCAGCCGCUGUUCUCUCAACCGCGGCCAAAAAGAUGUGCGACACAUUGUUACAUUGCCAGGAACAUACAUUGCCUUCAGCAAUUCAUGAAGAUGCAUCCUUUCUGGCCACCAGCUGCUGGCUCUGCACCAUUCUAUGGAGCCAAGACCAAUCUCAAUGUUCUGCCGCCCACAGAUCUAGCUGGGAGAGCAACUGCUGGGCCAGAUAAGGGUCAGGGGCUUGCCAUUUUCCCUAAUAAUGUUGGUAAAGACAAAGUCCAGCCUGCAAACAUUGCAGAUGCUACUGCUCAGAGAAAGCAGCAAAUAUUACUCCAGCAAGCAUUGCCGCCUGUUGCGCCUAACAAUCUACUGGUAAAGUCUCUUACAGCUUAUUAGCACCUUAAUCUCUUGGCUUUCUCUAUUUUGGAACUUUUUAUGAAGAUCAGAGGAGUGCCUAAUUGCUGAGUCUUUUAUGAAUUUACAGCAUGGGCCUACUUUCAUCUUCCCUAUAAAUCAACAACAGGCAGCUGCAGCUGCUGCUGUGCGACCCGGUCCCACAAAGUCACCUAGCACAACGGCCACUGCAGCCUUGCCUAACACAUCCAAUCCUGCUGCUGGCACUGCUGCUUCAGCGGCAGCUGGUGGAGCUGCUACUGCAAUUAGUUUCAACUACCCAAAUAUGUCUCCUAAUGAAGCUCAGUACUUGGCGAUCUUGCAGAAUAAUGCGUAUGCUUUCCCAAUACCUGCUGUAGGAGCACCUCCAAAUUAUAGAGGAGCUCAUCCGCAGCCUAUGCCAUUGUUCAAUGGGUCUUUCUAUUCUUCCCAGAUGAUUCAUCCAUCCCAGGUUCAGCAACAGCAGCAGCCGCCUACAUCGCAGUCGCAACAAAUGCAACAAGGUCAACAAAACACAAGCAUGUCUAGUGGAUCCUCUUCAUCCCAGAAGCAUUUGCAGAGCCAGCAGCAGAGGUCCCAAGGCAAUGCUGUUACUGGUGGCAAUUUGCAUAAUUU
rnacentral:lncRNA from 1 species